rnacentral:lncRNA from 1 species
UUCCUCUCGACGAGCUCUACAUUUUAUGCAAUAAGCCCAAACAUGUCCGACCGUCUGUUGAAAAGUUACAACGGGAUGAUUCUUAAAAGUAUAGUAUUGUGUGUAUAUCUUUUUAAAGGUAACAGAUAUCAACCUACUAUAAACUGCAAAGAUGAUCAGUAAUUCAAGACCUUCAAUUUGAGGUCAAUAUCAGGUCAUGAUGAAAUUUCACCUUGACCUUCAAAUAUUACUAUGACCUUGACCUUGUGAUAGUUGAAAGGUCAAGUGGUCCUGAGUUGAAUGGUGCUAGUCCCAUGUCUCUACGACUUCCGGUUCUCAAGUUUGAUAUUGCAUCAUAUAUUUGAUGAUUAAUUGUGACCUUGGUGAACUUUGAAUUUGUUCCAUCUCUUUUUUUAUAAUGUUGAUCUUUAACUGUAGAUCAUUUAUCAUUUAACAGAUUUGAGAUAUCUAUUAUUGUUAAAGAGAUAAUGCAGUUUGAAGUUUUGCG